rnacentral:lncRNA from 1 species
ACAACAAAUUGAAGGCUUUAGAAUCCUAAAAGGUUAGUUAAAGACUUUCUUUGUGAUUUUACAUUGGUCAAAUAAUGUGAAAAUAGUGUUCUUUAAACCUUCUGCAAAAGCAAUGCACACUUAGAAAUGUAAAAAACCCACCCCUCUCGGUAUUUGCCCCACAUUUUGAAAUAAGGUUUGCAGAGUCAGCUUGGGUUUCAGCCGAGCCCAUAAAGUUUUGUUUUUGGCAGUUCCAAUCCAGGCCCCAGAUUAUUGGACAAGAAAAACGAUAGACACAGGAAAAGCAGGGGAGGAAAGAAAGAAAAUAUAAAAAAAAAAUCCAAAAAAUCAUAUAGCACAUAAUUUUAGAUUAUUUUGUAACAUUUGAAAUUUCUGGAAGUACGGGUCCCAAUAUUUUCAGAACAAACUAUCAAGAAUUGCAAAAAGGGAAAGAAAUCUCAUUAUAAACCAAAGAAAAUGUUAAGCAUCAUGUUAUGCACCAACUUAGAGUAUAACAUGUUCCAUUGUUUGAUAAAAAUCUGACUGCCUAAUAUGUUACACCAUAGAUCUUAGACAGAAACAUUCAUACAUAAAGUUAAAUAUUAAUAUAAAUUUGAUAUGUUGGUUAGCAUUAUAUUAAGUACCAAAUACCAAAUUAUAAAUUAUAAGCUACAGCAUUUGUUAAUAAAAUUGUAAAUAGUUGCGUAAUGUUUCAGAUUAUAUUUGCUAAUCAAGCUCCGGGGUGUUGAGGUGGGAUGGGCAUCGGGUGGCAGCAGGGUGUGCAUCCUGGAUUUCUGGAAUAAAACUCUUCCAGUAACUUAAGAUAUUACAGCAAAGUGAGCAAACUUAAGAUAUUGCAACAAAGUGAGCAAACUUAAGAUAUUGCAGCAAAGUGAGCAAACGUACAUUCGAUCCUAAGAAAAUUCUCCUUUGGAUAGAUUUAACACCUAGAAUUUGGUGCUCAAAACAGGCACUGUUAUUCAUGGUUAGUUUUCACUUGAAACUAGUCUAAAACUGGUCAGUUUUGGCAUUAAAUCAAUACAAAAGAGUUUCAGAGGUCAGAUCAGUUUCAAAUGUUUUUUGAAGUAUAGUUUGAUAAACCUGAUAACUAAUAUGGGUCUCUUCCAAAACAUCCAUCACCUGGUUAUUUAACUUGAUACCUCGAUACACUAAAGUAAUCCAAAAUUCAUGUAAGAACACCAGGUAGUUAGCCUAUUCGAUAGACUCAAUGGCUGACCUAGCUGAUACAAUCAGAACCCUUUGUUCUAGGAUUAUGAACAUACACGUACAAAACAAUGUCGAUACAAUUUUUGACCUGUUGUUUACUAUCAUUCUAGAAGAUCUGAUUCCCAUGACACAGAUACCAAGAAAGAUGAGUCAAAUGGAAGUGAUAUUGAACAAAAAAAUAUGAUGCAGGGUGGUAGAUGGACUUGCAUGUUGUAGAGAAACCUAAAGAAAUGUGCAGUACAGCAAUGUCGGUCAUCGAAAUUGAAAAGCUGACACAAAAUACAUUUCAUAAUUAAAACCAACAUUGGAUCAUCCAAAUAUGUUUGUAACAGAUCAGAUCACUGCAAGCUCAUAAAUGGACAUGAUCUAGCAUAACAUAGACACCAAUUCUAGUACAGCAUAAAAACCAUCCAGAAUUCCUCAUAAUGUACAGCGCAUGACAUUAUUGAAAGAUGGCAUAUUAAGAAGAUCCACUAACGCUGAAAACAGGAUAAAUUAUGAACCAUGGCAUUACCAAUGACAGACAGAUGGAAGUGAAAAGAGAGCCCAUAGCAUAGACAAUGCAAUCUACCAUACUCAACUGCUCCCAAACUGUAGGGUUAGCAUCAGGGAAGACCUACAUCUAAGCCAGAUGAAUUCGGAAGAUGUCCGUUUACUGUGCAAGUUGCAGUCGCCUGGCCACCUUCCUUAAGGUCUAACUUCCUAUGCGUAGGCCAGCUACUAAAUAGGUGACUACUAGGGAACCCUGAAGGGUAGAGUUUGGACUACAUUAGGAGAUAGCUUGGGCAUUACAUGGCAGAACAGGAUAGUAGGCAUAUCAGGGGAAGAAAUGAAUACUGAGUGUCUGAUGCUCAUCUGCUUAUAAGCUAAUCUAUACAGAAUGCAAACUUUUAAAAAAAAAAAGUUAAAGACAUCAUGGAAAUGUCACAAGCAUAUGAACAUAACGACAAAUCAUCAAAAGAAUAAACAAAUUAUCAACAUAUAUGCAUAAAUUCCUUGAGACUUUUGGGUAGGCGUACAAUCUAUUUUGCUUACUAUGGAAGCAAAGCUUCUUGAUCGAACACAGGUAAGCACAUAGGGUUCACGGCAGUGUCUAUCUGUUAAAAGAAUUCAUCCUCCGGGAACCUGUCAUAAAACAGCUUCCUUCUUCCCUUAUUCUAGCAGCCCUUCGCACCUACUACAUCUUGACCAUGAAAAACUCAUAGUGGUUUUCUGGGAGUUAAUGAUUGGUUAAUCUUGUUUUCCCUCCAAAUUAGCAGGUAAGGCCUUAAUCUGUCCACAAUUUCGUGGCCUCCAUUCAUCUCUUCAUUUCCCUACUGAUGACAGAAUCAAUCAUUCUUUCAACAACAUCUGAUUAAAUGCCACAUAAUAAAAGAUUGAGCUGUCAAUUUGUACCUAAGCUGUACAUGAGGACUCCUUUAUGAACAGCUGCUGCUCUUGGUGGAACUCCUUCUAACAUUCGUGAAAUUUCCUUUUUCGUUUUUUCAGACAAGAAUGCUAUUGGCAAUCAAGAAAGCAUUGCAAGAGCCGAAACUAUCUCUUUUUAUGGAGUCUCCUCGAAACCUUCGGGUACUUUUUCUGUGUUCGUGGACGAUAUGCCUAUUAGCGAUCAAGAUCUCUCUGUUUAGAUCCUUCUUGCAAUUUACCUUUUCCUUUUGGAAAGAGUGACGUUAACAAUCAAGAAAGCAUCGACGUUGUCAUUCUAUCUACCUUCACGGAUAUCCUUAACACCUUCUUGUACUUUACCUUUUUCUUUCUAAAAUCAAAAAAACCACCGCAAGACUCGCUCUUUUGGAUUUCUAUGUUGGAAGCUAUCCAAGAAUUAAAACAAAAACAUGAUUGGACCAAGAACACAUCUAACUAUAAAAAACAGGUGGUAUCAAGAAGGCUGUAAACGAUCAUGAAAUCAUCGGAAGACAUAUUCUUUGGAAUUGCUGUGUUGGAUCCUGAUGCAGGAAUUGAAGAGAUCAGGGUUAGGGCUCGGAGAGAAAGAAGAGACCACACGUGGAGAGGAAGCACCGUUACAAUGCCCCGCCGCCAUGGGGAGGAUAGAGACAGAGGAGGAGGUGACGAAGGGAAAGGGAUUGGGGGCGACAAGAAGCGGAGGAGAGGGCUUCGCACCGCCACGGGACCCAAACAGCCAUCGGCCAUUACUUUGCGCUUCAGCUCUAUCUCCUCGUCUCGCAGCUCCGCUCAAUCGCAGUCUCCGUUGCCUCUCCUAGCGGGAAUAGGAGUAUAGGACGCCCUCCCCGUGGGUCUUAAAUAUGUGAGCGAGGCUUGGACGGGAGCGUUGUUAAUGGGCUCACUUCCAAGCCCUGAGUGGCAGCCCAUCAUAAGCUUCAAUACAUGGCUUGGCCCAUAAGAAAAUUAGUUUUGUACACUACUCUUAGAACCAGGGACAAGUCUAAGGCUCCAUUUGAUAGAAUUAUUAACAUUAGAGCUUUCAGUAGUCGAGCUUUUUGAAGUAGAACUUUUAUAUUUAUAGUAUAAUAUAAUAAUAAAGAUAAAAAAUACUUUUUGAAGUAGAACUUUUAUAUUUAUACUAUAAUAUAAUAAUAAAGAUAAAAAAUAUUAUAUUUUCUAUAAUUAUAAUAUUUUAUCAUAGGUAUUUUGGUCCAAAAGAAAAAAGUUAUAAAUCAAAACAACUUUCUGGCAUAUGCUAAAAGUGCUUUUCCGAAGAAGUUCCAUUUUGAAGUUUUUUCCAAAAAGCUAUUUUAGCUUUUUAGCAAAGCUAAAACAGCUUUCCGAUUUUUUUAUCAAACAUCCUUACUCUAUUAAAAAGUACCUUUAGAGGAAUAGAAAGUGCUUUCUAGCCUACUAAAAGCUCUGCCAAAUGGGCCUAAAUUGCAUGCACACCGAUGCUCAAUACCAUGCCCGAACUCAAUGGACCUGCAAAAUGCGCUUGUGCCCCAUGGUGUGGUGUAUAUGGAGGACAAUCCCGAGAUGAAUCUAACCUAUGAAUUGAGAUCGUAGAGAAAUAUGAAAUCUCAAGUCAUAACUGGGACCUAAUCAAUAGGUGGGGAAGAAAUUAAUAGCCAAAAUUUAAACAUAAUUAAGCAAUCCAUAUGGCCAAAAUCACCAUUUACAAAUCCAUAAAGCCAAAUUACGGCUUGCCAUGUGCCAUAUGUUUCCAUAGAGUGGCAUAUUUCGUGGAUCACAUAAUGAAUUGGGUGCUAAUUCAUAAUGUCGUUUGAUAUUAUAAGCCUUGUCUUGGUUUGUAAGGGAAAUAUAUGCAACUCCACUUCAAAGUAUCAUAGAUCCUGGAUAAGGGUAUCUUUUCUACCUUGCAUAGGAAGUUUUGGAUGAGCCUCUCAUGAAGCUGUGUCAUGUUCUGAUGUAAAGCCGUUGGCUUUCAUAAGAGAAACACUCGAUGCUAUUUUUUACUUACAAGUCCCUUGACUCAGAUUGGAGUGGUAAGGUUCUUAAUUCUCAAUUUUGAGUGAAUGCAUCAUUUAAUCCAAAGUUUGGCAAUCUAAUUUAGUAACCUCGACAAAUGUAUAAAUCAGUAGUUUGGCAAUUCGGCUUAAUUGAGUUUCCAAAAUCGUCUUUGUAAAAUAUUUUAUCUCAAUAUUAUAAUACCUAAAAAUAUUUAAAAAUGUGAAUAUUAUUUAAAUUAUAUGUAUACAUUAUGAAUGAAUCUAUACUUAUUUUGAUAUUACAUUAUUAAAAUAUUUUUAAUAUAUUUUAUUUAUAUUAUUUGAUUAUUUUAUGUUGACUUGCAAGUUAAUUUGUUUGAGCCAUGGAGGCAUUUUAGAUCAUUAAAAAUCCGAGAGAGCUUGAUUUCUGUACUUCUAAACAAUAUUUUUUUCUUUUUUAGAAAGAGUAAGGAAGACCUAGUCCGCUUGUUUAAACAUAGACUAUGACCUAACCAAUGUAUUCACUUCUUUAUCAAUUUGAAAGCCAUUGAUAUGUAUAGAAAUUUUUAUAUGAUACUUCUUUUUCCAAAUAUCAAGAUGCAUUACAAUCUUCACCACACGAAAGACUCUAACAUUGGCUUAUUGAUCUUUAUCAAACUAAUAGUAAUGGCAACGAAUAGGGUAUCCGUGGAAUUUACCCUUACGAGCUUGAUUUAAGUAUUUCUAAACACAAAUUUUUUCUCUUUUAGAAAGAGGAAGGAAGACCUACUCCGCUUGUUUAAAUAAAGAUUAUGACCUAACCAAUGUAUUCACUUCUUUGUCCAUUUGAAAGCCAAUAAUAUGUAUAGAAUUUUUUAUAUGAUACUUCUUUUCCAAAUAUUAAGAUGCAUUACAAUCUUCACCACAUGAAAGACUCUAACAUUGGCUUAUUAAUUAUUAUCAAACUAAUGGUAAUAACAAUGGAUAGGGCAUCCACAAAAAUUAUCCUACCCAUAUCUGAAUCCAUUUAAAAUCCUAUUAUCCAAACCUAUCCUAAAUCUGAUUAACAAUUUGUCCAAAAAUUUCAAACACGUCUGAUCAAAAAAUAGUAAAUCCAUCGAGUACCCGGCCUUUCCAAUUAAUCUUUAGUCAGAUUGGGCUAUUCUGGUUGGAUCGGGGACCCGACUUGAAAUUACUAAAAAAAAAAGAGAAAGAGAACAAAGAGAAAGAUCUUUGCAUAAUGACCUGAAUAUGACUUUUAUCAAGUAAAAAUCAAUAAUACAUCAAAUGUGCUUUAUAGCUUAGUGGGUAUCUAAGGGUCAAAUUCCAAAUCAUAUAGAAUUCUGCUAAAUAGAUCUUAUUAGAAUUCAGGAGGGAUCAGAUGUCCAAAAAAUCCACUCAACUGUCAUGCCUGCAAACUAACCUGCUCCACCGGUACAUCCAAGGGCAUGCUCUGUCAAAAAAUUUAAUAAUAGAGAGCGAAGUUAUUUAAUCUAAGCAGGCAUUGAAGUUUUUUAGUUUCAACAAAACAAGAAUAGCUGAGGAGUAGGAAAAAGCUUUGGAUAUCCAGUAUAAAGAGCAAGACCCUUGGACCUGCUAGCCACUAGGAGCAAAGGGGGAAAACUGGUUUCACGAUUCAUAAUCAUCAGAGAAGCACUGCUUUAAUUUUGGGAUAGGUGCUGACCUAAUUGCUUUAAAUGAAUCAGUGGAUGAGUCCACGGUCCUACUUCUUUUAAAUUUUUAUAAUAAAAUAUUGCAUAUUAACCUCAUGAUCAAGUUUGAAAGCUAUUGAUAACCGUGCUUAUGAAUUACUUUUUUCUUGGCCAACUAUACCACCUUUUUGUUAAAUUAUUAUUUAUUUUCACAUGUAGAGCCAGGUCAGUCUUUCCAGAGACCCAACGGUCAACAUGGAAAAUGAAAAUUGGAGAACCAUCGCAAGAGAGUCGGGGAUCAUCAACGGAUUUCACCCGGCAAGAAUAGCAAGUAAUUUAANNNNNNNNNNNNNNNGACGUGCAGCUCGAGGUCUCCCAUCUCCCACUUAAACCUCUUUACGUUCAAUUUAUCCCGUAGUCCUAACGAUCUCGUUCCUAUUUCACCAUAUUCGAAGGCCGUCACAUGAUCCACUUGUUUCCACUACUUUUUUUUUAUUUCUCGUCAUAUUCCUUUCCACAUGAUCUAGUUGUUGUCGAUGCCUCUUCCUGUUCUCGUAGUAAUCAGUGGCGGUGACAGGGCCAUUGAUGACACGUUAUACGCUACCAUACCGAAGUUUGAAAUAGAUAGCAAUAGAUCAGCAAGGAGCAAGGAUUGUUGGCCCCCGAAAAAAUAAAUAAAUAAAUAAAAAUCAAGCAAGAGCAGAUAUAAUUUUUUUUAUUCGUAAUGGUUUACCCAAUGUAGCAAUUUUGGAUUUCAUUCAAAAUAACUAGCCAUAAAGUAUUAUUUGGAUUCCUUCUCGCAUAAGUACUCAAGAUCUUCUCGAUGAAUAACCAAUGUGGGACUAAACAUAGUCCGCAUGGAUCCUCCCAUACGCCUUCAUUUAAAUUUUGAUGUCCUUGUCAGGUUAAGAAUUCAUAUCCUUUCAAAUCUAAUCACAUAUACCGCGAUAGAUUCAUAAUCAAUGUAGAACUAAACAUUUGUCUGCACGGAUUCUCACAUCCAAUAAAUGCAAUACAAAUUUCUGGCACUUUGUGAAACAAGGUCAGAUUGCAUUUUUCAUAUUAGAGAUGUCAACCAUUGAAUUGCACGAUAAUUACUUCAAAAUUUGUAUGGACAUAUGGAAAAAUAAUAUUAGGGUGCUUUGAGUACUGUACAAUAUGCGACCCAAUGAUAAACAUAGCAAAAAAAGGUUAAAUUCUUUCGCAGGAAAGAUACAACCCAAACCUUAUAAGGAAUGCCACUAUAACACAUCUUCCGAAGCCAAAAAAAAUAUAACUAAAAACAAAAAUCUAUCUAUUUCUAUAUUAUAACAUGAAAGAUUAUCAUGUCAUUUCAUAUAUGGUUGAUUACCCGGGUAAGUAUUUCCUUGUCACACAGAACUCCUUCUUAUAAUAUAUAUUUANCCUUUCUGGAUAAAUAUAUCUUGGUUAGUAGAGCUUCUCUUUAGCAAAGAGAUCAAAGUGGAGUGCACUAAGAGAAGGUGAAAAUAGAUUAUUAUAUAUGUAAUACAUAAAAAUAUAAUUAGCUAAAUAUUGUCACAACCGCUCCUCUUUCUCUUACAUUCAUCAUGUCUCCCAAAACUAAGGUAUUUUAGGCAAGGCUUAAAAAGUGAAAUUUUGAAGUUUUUAAGUUGUGCUAAUAGGAAAUGAGUUUGCUUCAAUAAUAUCCAAAAGCAACCAUAGAUAGUUGCUUACGAAAGAAGUUUAGAAAAUAAACUAGCUCCUAAUUUGUAUUUAUCUGGAGCAUCUACUUAAUCAAUUUAAGUUGCCUACUGUAUUAGGUAGAUUGACUUAACUGUAAUUUAAUUUGAUCCCCCGAGUCAAAACCAAAUAUUUUAAAUUCUCCGGAUUAGUUUGGCUCCCUUAAUCCGAACUCAAAUCUCAAUGAGAUAACAUCUAGAUCUACUUUCAAGUGCACCAGAAAAACAUGCCUUUACAUUACGUGUCUUCAUUUUAACUCAUUUUCUUACCUUUUUUUGUGGUAAUCAUUUUAUGAAUAAGCACAAGCUAUGCCCAAGUGUCGGCAACCAAAAAGCCAACUGAACUUCGAUGGUAGUAUGUUGAUAGACGAGCUGUUCGGAGGUGUUGGCUUUGUGAUCAGAAAACAUCUCGGUGGGAUGAUAUAUAGCAGCUGAUGGUCGUCGCACGUCUGGACUUACUGCAGUUGGGACGGAAUUGCGGACAGCUUGGGAGGGGAUAUCCUAUGCGAGGCGAAUACUUGGCGCCGAGCGUAUAUGCUUUGAGGGAGACUUCUUUAUGGUGAUUGACUGGGUUUGGAGAGUGGACAAAUAUGGUGAUGGUUAUUCUCUUAUCCGUGAUACCCGUAAUUUGGCUCAGAAGCAGAACUACUUUCAUGCAUUAUAUGUAUUUCGGAAGACGAACAACGUAGCAGACUGAGUUGUUUCAUUUGUUGUCCGGCACACCAGGAAGAUCAUAUGGACAUCUGUAGGAGAGAUACCUUCUAUCUUAUACUCUUUAUUUUCUUCUAAUAUGGUUGGAUGUCAUCAUGUUAGAGUUAUAUUAAAUAUCAUUUUUACCCGCAACAAAAACAAAAAAAAAAUAGAAAAAAAUAAAAUAAAAUAAAAUAAAGAAAAGGGGCCAACUAAACAGGACUCUUUCUUCGAUCGAACUCCGCUCGCUAAUGGCGAAAGCGGACCAUAGGAAUGCUCACCGUAAGACCUUAAGCAAUGCUUCGGCAGCCCUCAAAAAAAAAACACUCAGAAAAGUCACUCAAGCGCGUGGGGCCAAUCACGUUGCCUCAUUUAAGGGCACACUCGGGGGUGCCAGUUCAAAGGGAGCAAUCAGAAUACGCCACAUCAGCUGAGUUUCCUUCAUUAUCACCUUUCUGAAAGAUGAUUCACAUGUCAUGGAACGAAGUCCGCUUACCAACGCCGUCUGGGCGACGGCAAUUCCAAGUCCCAUACACCUGCAGCCAGCGCGGCAUCUUCAGAGUACCAUCCCAAAGAAAACAAUCUCCUUAUCCCUUUGCCACCAACGGGAGAGAGUAGACUCAUGGAGUUCCCCACAGCCAAGGUUGCGAACCGUAUGUGGUUUCUCUGCACCCUUUCUAGCUUCCUUGGCUUCAUCUUACUCUACUCUACCUUCAGCCGAGGCCAUUGGCCCGGCUUAGCCUUUGCAUCCCUUGGCAGUUUAGAGGCCACCAUUGGCAUGGAAUCGCCCAUGGACUCAAGCGCUCCAGUCCCUUCUCAAUCCAAGAUGGAGGCACGAGCUCGCAAGUCAUAUAACUUGGAUUUACCUUCUCCAAGUAGUUCUCCAAUUCCUACUUUAGCUGACAAAAGGUCGCCAGCUGAAUCCAACACAGAGUCAUCUCCUCAGUCUUUAUGGGCGGAGAUGGUACAAUCGUCACAAUCCACCACAGCCUUUUCUCCACAGCCUAGCGUAGUUGAGGAAACUUCACCAACAUCCAAUGAUAAGCUCUUGUCUUCACAAGUUAGUGCAGCACAUGUGGUGUCCACGGAGUCUAGAAUCGAGUUAGCCCCCCAGACUAGUGCACAAGAUUUAGCCACCUCAGAGGCAAAUUUAGAGACGUCUUCACGAUCCACAGAGAGGACUUCUUCGUCAUGGGAUGGGAAGUUGAUAGAAGGGAAAUGCAACAUCUUUGAUGGGAGGUGGGUUUAUGAUCCAAAAGCCUACCCACUCUACCAGGACAACCGGUGUCCAUUCCUUGGUGGCCAAGUGGGUUGCCAGAAGAAUGGAAGGCCGGACUCGGCUUACGAGCAUUGGAGGUGGGAGCCCAAUGGAUGUGAGAUUCCAAGGUAUUGGCUGUAGCUUGGGUACGUACGUAGUUACCAUGAACAGAAUGGGCAGGUUUUCUUUUCCUUUCUUCUAAAGGUUGUGUUCAUUUUGCUUGCAUGGGUGUCAUAAUUUGGAAGGUUUAAUGGGACCUACGUGCUCGAGAGGCUGAGAGGGAAGCGAGUGGCAAUCAUUGGAGACUCUCUCAAUAGGAAUCAGUGGGAGUCGCUGGCUUGUCUGCUCUACUCUUCGGUGCGACCCUCACGUGCCUUCAUCAAAGCACGCAGCUCCGGCUUCAAGGUCUUCCGAGCCGUGGUAAACGCUCGCCCUGUCAUUUCUAUGUUUUCAAUGUCUUUUUUUAUCUUUACAAGUUUUAAAUGUCCGUCUGACUGUCGAAGAUAAUAAAAAGUGGAACGAACUGCCAUGUUGGUGACAAAAAUAUCAAAAAAAUGAGUAGUAUUUUUUCCCCCGGAAUUUGAGGGUCCCAUGGCAACGUUCAAGUUUCUCACCUAAAGUUGAGUGGUUCGCAUAUUGCGAUCUCACGGCUACCCAACCUUAAACCAAGGGGAAAAAAUUAAAAUAACAUUAAAAGUUGAGUGGUUCGCAUAUUGCGAUCUCACGGCUACCCAACCUUAAAACAAGGGGGAAAAAAUUAAAAUAAGUGAAUGUUAUAGUUAGAAGGCAACUGCCCUUGUUUACGUUUUGCAAGGCCUAGUGUUUAUAUCUUCUUAUAAUUUUGAGAAAGAUAUAUAUCCAUGCAUAGACGCUACAUUGGUCGUUGCCCUGUGGACUCGCCAAGACUAAUUAGGAAGAGGUUCCCAAAUGUUUGACCUAGAAAAAUUCGUAGACAGCAUCGAUCCCUGACAAAAUUAAACCAAGUUGAAGAAAGAAAUACGCACAUACAUGUAUGCCAAUAUAAAAUCAUCACUUGGGGUAGAGUAUAUAUUCGAUUCCCAUUUUAUUAUCAGCAGCCUGUAGCUUCGUUGCGAUGCAUGGCCACGCAUCAUGCCAUCUCGAGGUGUAAUCGGUGACUAGUGCUGUUUUCUCGAAAAAUCAAAUGCCCUGUUGCUAUUUGCCUUUCAGAACAUUAAACAGAACAAAUAUUGAAUUUUUUUUAUAAACCUUACAUUGCGUAAGAAGAAGCCAUCUACGAGUCGAGUUGAACAAACUAAAAGCACACGUUUCCAUUUUAUUGGAACCUGAAAGCCAAGGUUAUGCAAGCCUCAGGAAGGGUUGAAGCAAAGGAAGGUGUGGGUUUGAUGUUAUGAAUAUUCUUUUGCUUCAGCUAAUUUUUAAGAAUGGCAUGUAUAUAUAGCUCAAGCAAUAAUACUUAAUUUUGUGCAAGGACUAUCAUUGCUCGGUGGAGUUUUACUGGAGCCCGUUCCUUGUCGAGCUGAAGGAAAGGGAAGACCGAUCCAAGGUGCUGAGGCUCGACAAACUCCCAGGAUCAGCCAAGCUGUGGCAGGGGGCGGAUGUCAUGGUUUUCAACACCGGCCACUGGUGGACUCACCAUGGCAACAUGCAGACGUGAGUCUUGUUCGCGGUUCAUUUCCCAUGCAUAAAGCUCCUAAAUUUACUUGUUCCAUUUUGUUCAGUGAAUUAUGAUGUUAUAUUUUUUGAGUGCUGGGGAUGCAGUUAUUAUUCGGAAAAAAAGCUGAGAAGAUAAUUUGGUGAAAUUGGUGCAGAUGGAACUAUUACGAGCAGAGAGGAGCGUUGGUGGAGGACAUAGAUAGCGAUAAAGCAUUUGAGAUGGGGCUGAGGACUUGGGCUCGUUGGGUCGACCGACAUGUGGAUCCUACCAAGACCACUGUGUUCUUCCGCAGCAUCUCUCCAGAGCACAAAACGUAAGAGAACACCUAACUCCACCAGAUCACUUAACAAAUGGAUAAGUUGGUCAGAUUGGCAAAAUAAAUUGCACUUAACUUAUGUGGGCUGGUAGAUGUCAACCCAAUUUUUAUCAAUCAAACUCGAAAUGAGGACCAAUUUCCCUCUUUUUUCUUUUUCUUUUUCUUUUCUUUUUUUAUUUAUUUUUUUUGAGAGAGAAAAGCCAGGUUAAGUACGUCCAACUAUCAACAUUCUAUUUGAUGACCCAAAGUGUCAUCAUCCUAGGUUGUGCAAUAUGUGAGAUUGGCAAUCCACGCACUCAUUGAUAAUAAGAGCAAAGACUUAAUCCAUCAUGUAUCUCAUAAAACUUAAUACAUAAUUUGUAGUACUUGUUGGAUUAGACCAUAAAAUGAUACUUGGUCGCUUCUUCCUCUAGCACUAGAGAGAGAAUAGAGCUUCAAUUUGCUCCUCUUGAACUGACAAUAAUAGAUAGCAGUUAGCAUCCACCACGACCCAAUGUAUUGUUUGUCAUAAGACAGACUCAAAGCAAUGUAUACGUAGAAAGGGAAACAGCGUAAUAUUUGAAGAUAUUAUUGUAUUCUAACUGCACCAUCAUCGAUCUUCUGUUGGGAAUGCUUGUUAUGAUUGCAAUACAUGCGCUCAAACGAGCAUGUCAAAAAUUGCAGGGAGAACCUGCAUUGGUGCUACAACCAGACCCAUCCCAUCACCAACGAAACUUACGUGCAGUGGUUUCCAAGGUCCAUGAUAGCUACGGUGGAGAAAACUCUCACAGAGAUGACGACACCGGUUAGGUAUUUGAACAUUACACGGCUAUCAGAGCAUAGGAGAGAUGCUCACACGGCGUACACCACGAGGAGAGGGAAGCUACUCACUCCGGAACAGCGAAAGCGGCCUCGAACUUAUGCUGACUGCAGCCACUGGUGCCUUCCAGGACUCCCUGAUACUUGGAAUGUUCUUCUUUUGGCCUCGAUCAUUGGAAAUCCCUCUACUGUUUUGUAGAUUGUCCGAUCGAAGCUCCAACUUUCUUUUCUUUCUUUUUCUGUGAAAGAUGUAGUGUGGGCUGGCUAAGCGUUCGAGUAAAGUUUAAAAAAGAAAACUUACAUAUUAUGGACCAACCAAACAAAUUUAUGUGAAAAAUCCUACAAGCCAAAAAUAUAAAUGAAAAGUUUUGUACUUUAAUUUUUAUGAUAAAUUUGCAUCACUUUCAAUUUAAAAUUUUUAUUGGUAGUGAUUUAGGUUGUCGUAGUGAUGAUGAUGAUAACAACCAGUAGUGAUUAGCAAUGAUGGCUGCUGAAUGAUAAUUGGCGGCCAACGUUGGUAGAUGAUGAUGAUGGUAAAUGGUGGCAAAGAUCUUUGGUUAUUUUCAGGAAUUUGAAAAGUUCUCCAAAAAAAAAAAAAAAGAGAGUGGGUCAAAUAGGAUUAACCAAACAAAGUGCUUUGCGUUGAUUUCCAUUGGAAACAAAAAACAAUGAAAGUAGCAAUUGGCUGGGAUGCCUGAUAGGCCUUUAAGUUUUUUUUUUUUAAAAAAAAAACCUUGUUUUGGGAAAGAAGAAAGUUCUUUUUAUUUCUUUUGAGGUCGGCAUGCCUUGAUGUGAAGGGAAUUCUGGGAGGAAAACGCAACACGUUGCCGGCACUUUUUUCACAUCGCAUCGGCAUUAAUUUUGCCGGCUUUGCAUAUUUUGCAAUAGGUAGGAAAAAAAAUGUAGCCAAACAAGUUUUUGGUGAGCAGGAUGAAGCAUUUAUUGCUAGGCCUCAUCUGUCAGGAGCAAGAUGCUUUUGUGGGAUCUUCAGCAUGCCUCUAAGCGGCGAAGCCUGAUGGCUGUCAAGCUAGACAUAGAAUGAGCUUACGACAGAAUUCGGUGGAGCUUCUUGAGGCGCGCUUUGGAGUGCUUUAGCUUUCAUAAGAUUUGGAUCGAUUGGGUGUUGGGGAUGUGUCCGGGGGUCGAGAUUUUCCAUCUUGAUUAACGAUACGCCUUCCCCCUUCUUUAGGUCUACUAUGGGGCUUAGACAGGAAUGUCUUUUAUCCCCGUAUUUGUUCAUCAUCUGUUCAGAUGUCCUGUCUCGGGCUUUGCGGGGUGUUUGUGCUAACCAGGAGCUAGAGACGUUUGUUCCCGCCCCAGGGUCUCGAUCUAUAUCACAUUUACUAUUCGCAGACGAUUGUCUACUCCUGGCCAAGGCGCGAGCAGUGGAUGCACGAGUCCUAAUGAGAGUAUUAGCGGAGUACUGCGCAGUAUCGGGGAAGAAGGUAAACCUCCCACUACAAGAAACUUGGACAUUAGCGAUGCUUUUUUUGGCUAUUAGCGACACUUUUAAGCGUCGGUAGAAACCAUCUCAAUGUUUUCCAAAGCGUUGGUAAAGCGUCGCCUAUGCUACAGUGAAAAAAACAUUUUCCGGCGCUUUUAAAAACGUCGCUAAUUCCCGACGCUUUAAAACGUCGCUCUUUACCGACGCUUUAAAGCGUCGCGAAUUACCAUUUGCUGUCUGCAUCUUCUCCUCCAUUCAGAAAUACAAACAACCUUCCUGAUCGGUACCUUCAUUCUAUCCGUGCGAAGUGGUUGGGUUUGGCUAUAUAAACAGUUAUUUUUUUUUCAGAUCCGCCGAUAUGGGACUAAAAUGAGGUGGUUUUUUGGAUUCCGACGACGCUUUUAAGCGUCGUUAUUUAACGAUGCUAAAAAGCGUCGUUAAAAGUGUCGUCAAUUACAUAUUAACUUCGACGACGCUUAAAAGCGUCGUCAUUAGCCGACGCUUUUAAAAAGUAUCGGCAUUAGCCGACGCUUUUAAAAAGCGUCGGCAAAUAUUGACGGGGAAAAAUUUUUGCCGACGCUUGGAAUAAGCAUCGGCAAAUAAGAGUCGGAAGUUUUCUUUUUUUGUGUAGUGUCCAGAAAUCAACUAUCUCUUUCAGCCCUAGCAUUGAGCAUAGGGUCAGACAGGAGAUUCGGGGGAUACUGGAGAUGCUGGAUCAGGAUGGGACCUGGAGCUAUCUGGGAGUACCUAUUAUGGACAGGAGAUUGCGGGUGGCCGAGUGCUCCAGUUUGAUGCAGAGAAUUCAGAGCAGACUAGAGGGCUAGGGAGCAACUUCACUCUCUAUGAUGGGAAGAUUGACAUUGAUUAGAUCAGUGCUAGCUUCCAUACUUGUCCACUUCAUGGCAAACACAGUGGUUCCGAAAACAGUGCUGAUGAGGAUCGAGCGGCUACUUCGAAGCUUCCUGUGAGGGUCGUAUGGAGGGGGUCAUGGGAUACACUUAGUGGCAUGGGAGCGUGUCUGCCUACUAGUGAAGGAGGGUGACCUCGGUGUGUUGUUUCUUGUGGAGAGACCCGAGGCGCUGAUUGUCCAAUAUGCAGCUCAAUUCACGCUGGAGCCGUAGGGGUUCUGGAGUCAGACCAUUGCUGCCAGAUAUGGCCGGACGGGCAUUGUAGAGGCGAUUCGCAGUGGGCAUCGUUGCUCAUUUAUGUGGCGAGAGAUCGCAAGAUACCUAUCCAUAAUUGUGAAGAAUACUAGAUGGUUGAUAGGCGAUGGACGGAGUAUCAAUGUGGUUGGCGACCCAUGGGUGGGUGCCCUACCUUUGAGACUCUGGCCGACUAUGGUUGACAUUGAGGCAGUGGAGGGACUGCGGGUUUGCGACCUCUUUGUUCCGGGCAGGGCUGCUUGGGAUGAGGCUAGGUUGGGUCAUAUGUUUGGGACACACCUAGCUGAGAAAGUCCGAUCCCUUCCAAUUUCGGGGUAUGCAGGUUCGGACACCCGGGUCUAGGAGCACAUCAUGUAGGACCAGUGUAAGGGUAUAGGACCGGCGUGAGAGCAUUGAGAAGCAGCCUAAGGUUGGGGUGAUUAAUGGAGGAGAAUGGAUAGGAAUGGGAGUCUUUCAUGUCAUGAUGAUGAAUGGGUGCAGAGAAGAGGGUAUGGUAGCUGUGGCGGUGCUAAUUAAUGGUUGCAGCAGCAAGGAGAGACACUAUAAUAACGUGAUAGAGCAAUGAUGCUCACUUAGCUUGACAGCAUCAAGGGCAUGCAUAGGGAUGGAGGCAUAGAAUCCGAGUUGAUUGUCGCCACUUGGGCUUUGUUGGAUGCUAGUUCCUAGAAAUUGCUGAUAAUUAUGUAAAAUAAGAUUUGUAAAUAAUUACAUUAUUUAAUAAUAAAGAUAUAUUGCAAAAUAAUUGGAAGGAAGACAUGCUGGAAACGAAAUUUGCGAAAACAAUGCUCUGAGAAAGAAUUUCGCCCCUCGUGUAGGUUUGCGAGGAGAUCAUCCCCAAAGUACAAUGAAUCCGGCUCAACUUAAUGCUUUCUAUCACGAGCACGAUUGUAUGAAGAUCCAACCAAAUAGACUCCUUCAGUUGUCCAGAAAGAAGAGUAGAAAAGUAUUAGAGAAAUUGAAUGAGAAAACUGGAAGAAAAAAAAGAAAAGAAGCUAGCAAGGUCUCUCUUAGAGUAAUAGCACAAGGCCUGAUUUAUUUUCGGAUUGUGUUCAUGACUCAAUACUUGGAGCCUAUUUUUCUUAUCAACAGGUGUAUAAGACAACCAAACAGAUCUCGGCGAACGAGUGCGUGUCACCAACAUACCCAUCAUCUCCACAAAAAAAAAAGAAAUAUAUUGCAUUUCAGUAUCCAGUAUAAAUUGAAGUUUGAAAUUUAAAUUUUUUUCAAAAAAAAAACUAAAAACUUUCUUUUAAAAUGUUGAGUAUUUAAAAAAUUAGAAUUUCUAACAGGUUGAACCUGGAGAAGAAUUUUUAUAAGCCUGUAGGAGCGUGCUUGGCAACCUAGAGUCCAACUAUCCCAUCAUUAAUGACACUAUUUUUUUGGGAGAUGCACCAACCUCUCCUUAUUUGCCGAUUUCAUGAUAGUCAUUUUUUUGAUAGAAUGAAAUUAUGGUUAGGCCACUCAAAGCCGGCAAAUUUUGUGAUUCUUAUGAACCUACCAAAGCCAUGGGUCAAAGUUUAUAUAUUUUACCAAACUGGCUGUUAUUUUUAGGAGCAUCCAAGUCAUAGAUACAAUCCAUACCUUCAUUGCACCAAUCGGCCUACAGAUAUAAUUAAUCCACAUUAACUAUAAAAUGAAAGUUGCCAUACAACAUUAUUUUAUUAUCAUAUAUCUUUUAGUGUAAGAUGGUUACUUAUAAACAAGCAAUAAAAUAUGUAUGAUAGCAGAAUUUAUGUAAAAGUAAAUAAUAUUAAUGAUUACAAUAUAUAUUGCUAGUUUAAUAAUACAAUUAAGAUAAGCAUUUCAAUUAAAAAAAGUUGGCAGCCAUAAAACUCCAUCAACAGUAGCAGGCACGCUGCUAGAAUCGCCAGUCCCUACAAAGUUGAAAAACAAAUAUUUUAAGAAGAUUAAGGCGGUGUAAUCAUAAGAGAAACUACUUUUUUCACCUAUAGAAAUUCUUUAAAGCUGUUCUUUUUUUUUCACUUAUAGCUCAUGUGGAUUAUAAAAUACUAUAUCAUGGCCUUAUUUGAGUUGAUCACGGACUAAAGUAUUUGUGAUCAGAUUUAUGGUACUUAUGGUUAGAUUUGAAUGAAUUUAGACCUGCAAAGAUACUAGAGCUUAAAUAGAGAAAGUAUAUGAGGAUGCGCGAAGAUGUGCCUCAGCCAAAUAGCUAGAGUUACCGGAGAGCUAUUUACAGUGUUGUUGCCUGAGCUAUUUUAAUGAAAUUUUAUGGCCUUACAUGUGUUUAAUUAUGGAUAUUAAGAUUUCAUUAUACAAAAUUCUUGGAUGUGCAAUGAAAUUCCAUAGUAAUCCUUAAAUUGUAAAUAAAAACUUCUACUUUUGAGUAUGAUUCACAUUUCACCACUAUUUGCUUUUUGCUUGUUUUUGAACAUUUUGCUUGCAACAACCAAAUAGUGAGAACUUUGACGUGCAGAAAUCAAAAUUUCCAAUUUUGUAGUAAAAGAAAAAUACUCAUAGGUUCAAGAAAGUCAAAAAAUUUUCCGAAAAAAGUCAAGAAUAAGAAUUGCUUUUGUGCAUAAAUAUUACCAGACAAUAUAGGCCUUUUUUCCUUAAUCAAAUUUAAUAACUACACAGAAAAAAAAUACACAUCAAAUUUAAUAACUAACUAAUAUCUUAGAUUCAUGAACAACACAAAGCAGCUUUGUAUCAAAGUAUAGCUACAAAUAGGAGCAAGUCUCAACACUAUAAGAUUACUUUGCUUAACUAAGCAAUAACACAUAAAAGUUAUUACAUGACAGAAUGAUAUAAGCAUUAUUUUCUCUCUCUCUCUCUCUCUCUCUCUCUCUCUCNNNNNNNNNNNNNNNNNNNNAUAAGCAUUAUUUUCUUCUCUCUCUCUCUCUCUCUCUCUCUCUCUCAUUCUUAUAUUUUUUUUGUGUGGGGAAGGAUUCCUCUAAGUUAUUAAUAAGAUGUCAUUGUAGAAGAUCGUUGAAUUUAUGCUGUUGGGUAAGAAGCAAGCUUGGCCAUACCACAGAGCCCUUCCGGUGCACCGACAUCACGCUGGAUGCGCAUGUAUCCCGUCUCACCCCAAGUUGUACCCCAUGAAUUCUUUACCAGCCAAUAUUCAGUCCCAUCCUCAGCUAUCCCGUAACCAACAGCGGUCACAGCGUGGGUCAUUUGCGUUUCACACGGACCGGUGAAGAUGCCACUGGAGUAGUGCCGGAAGUCUUGCCCACUACCAUCGAUGCCAACUGAAACAGGCUGGUUCGCGACCGCCUGUAAGAGCGAGGACUCGUCAUUUGCAGGCACGCUCUCGUAGCCGCUGAUAGUAGCUGCCGAUGAUGAUGUCUUGUUGGUGUCACAAGUGCCAUUAGCUGCCAUGUAAGGGUAGUUAUCUUCAGUUGUUAUCCCUCCAUUAUCAAUGACGUAUUGGAAGGCACGAGUCAUGAGUCCCCCGUCGCAUCCUUGGUUUCCAUCGUUAACAUCACAGUCCACGAGUUGUUGUUCCGACAAGGAGACCAAGUUGCCGGUCUUGAUUUGAGUAAUCGCUUCAAUGGCAGCCACAGAAGAGAAUGCCCAAAAGCACCCUACGUGCAUCUUGUUGUUGGUUAGAUAUAUAACUUGUUUGUGAGCCAUGUUAAUUACUUGAUUACAUCUUUCAUGUAUCUUGUUGUUCUUUAAAUUUAGAUAUAUAACUCAUUGUACGCCAUAUCUUACCGCACGAGCCUUGAUUCUUGACGGGAGUAACUGCACCUCUGGUUCUCCAGUCCAUGCUGUUAGGCACGUCGGUCAGGUUGGCGUACUGAAAGCUUCCUGUCGUGGACGCCGUAGGCAUGGGCUUGAAUGCAAGGCGAGAGGCCUUGAACUCCCCGUUGGUCAAGUCAGCAAACUGGUUGAGGCCGAGCUUAUACUUGCGAUCGCCGGCUCUAUUGACAGACUUGAUGUACUCGUAGUUGUCCCUGAAGAUUUGGAAUCGUCGCUCCUUCUCUGCUGCAUCCGUGUAGACCCGCCCAUUCUGAGCCAUCCACUGCUCGUGCUUUGUCCGCAUAGGCUCGUCAGCAAUGCCACGAGCCGUGGCUCCAGAGACCCAAACACCCAAGACCAUCAAUGCGAGCUCAAAGCAUUGGUGAGCCAUUGCUGUGUAAAGACUUUGGGAUGAUUGCUGCCAAGUGGGUUAAGUAGCUAGAUAGCGUUGGGAGGGUGAUAAGUAAAGCAGAAAAACAGAGGAUGAAAUCUCUUUUUAUUCAAUUGUAUGACGUCACUUCUAUGUGUAUAUACAAGUUGUCAAUAUGUACCAAUAUAUCCUAACAUCUGAAAAUUAAGAGCUCGCUAUACGCAAAUAUUCAGCACCUUGGGAAUAGAUCUCAAGGCAAUAGACUCAGCAAUGCCUGGCAAUACCUGGGAGCAUCUUAAAUAUUAGGAAAAGAGAGAACUUUCUCAAAAUAAAAACAUCUGAUGGAAGACAAGAGCUUAACAGAACAAUACAAGCAAUAUCUAGAAGAAUAUAUGAUAAUGCAAAAAAACAGAUGGUGCUGGAAAUGCCUAUUCUAUCAGAGCUGAUGCUGAAAUACAUUAAUUACACUUUCAUGAUUAUAUGUACGGAAUACCACUUGAGCACCAGCCUUGGGAAAGGACGGGCAUGAUUUUCAUAAGGAUAAACAAGUAAAAUAGAUGAUAAGAAAUAAGUUGAAUGCAUGGAUUAAAAAAAAGAACUGUUAAAUAAAAAAACAAAGAAAUAGCAUUAAUAGUUAUUUUUGCAAAGUUUGAAUAUCAAAUCAAACCGAAGCCGUGAUACAGUUACCACAAAUGAGGUAACAUAAACUGAUCCAGAGUUAAAAUCUCAGACUUCGAGUUUGACAUGGUUGAGUUAACAAAACCAACAACAAUUGAAGGCUUUAGAAUCCUUAAAGGUUAGUUAAAAAAUUAGAUAAAGGGUGAUAUUUUCCACAAGAUUUACUUGCAGGAAAUGUGAAUGCCUUGUAUCAUAUCACAGAAAUUGGCAAAAACGCCCAAGAAAUACAAGGAAUGCAUUCGACUUUCUUUGUGAUUUUACAUUGGUCAAAUAAUGUGAAAAUAGUGUUCUUUAAACCUUCUGCAAAAGCAAUGCACAAUUAGAAAUGCAAAAAACCCACCCCUCUUGGUAUUUGCCCCACAUUUUGAAACAAGGUUUGCAGAGUCAGCUUGGGUUUCAGCGGAGCCCAUAAGUUUUGUUUUUGGCAGUUCCAAGCCAGGUCCCAGAUUCUUGGACAAGAAAAACGAUAGACACAGGAAAAGCAGGGGAGGGAAGAAAGAAAAUAUAAAAAAAAUCCAAAAAACCAUAUAGCACAUAAUUUUAGAGUAUUUUGGAACAUUUGAAAUUUCUGGAAGGACGGGUCCCAAUAUUUUCAGAACAAACUAUCAAGAAUUGCAAAAAGGGAAAGAAAUCUUAUUAUAAACCAAAGAAAAUGUUAAGAAUCAUGUUAUGCACCAACUUAGCGCAUAACAUGUUCCAUUGUUUAAUAACAAUCUUUGACUGCCAAAUAUGUUACACCAUAGAUCUUAGACAGAAACAUUCAUACAUAAAGUCAAAUAUUAAUAUAAACUUGAUAUGUUGGUUAGCAUUAUAUUAAGUACCAAAUACCAAAUUAUAAAUUAUAAGCUACAGCAUUUGUUAAUAAAAUUUUAAUUAGUUGUGUAAUUUUUCAGAUUAUAUUUGCUAAUCGAGCUCCAGGGUGAAAAGGUGGGAUGGGGAUCGGGUGGCAGCAGGGUGUGCAUCCUGUAUGUCUGGAAUAAACCUCUUCCAGUAACUUAAGAUAUUACAGCAAAGUGAGCAAACUUAAGAUAUUGCAGCAAAGUGAGCAAACGUACAUUCGAUCUCAAGAAAAUUCUCCUUUGGAUAGAUUUAACACCUAGAAUUUAGUGCUCAAAACAGGAACUGUUAUUCAUGGUUAGUUUUCGCUUGAAACUAGUCUAAAACUGGUCAGUUUUGGCGUUAAAUCACCACAAAAGAGUUUCAGAGGUCAGAUCAGUUUCAAAUGUUUUUUGAAGUAUAGUUUG